UACAGAGGGUGCAAGCGUUGUUCGGAAUUAUUGGGCGUAAAGGGAGUGUAGGCGGCUUGUUAAGUCUUCUGUGAAAUCUACGGGCUUAGCCUGUAACGUGCAGAGGAAACUGGCAAGCUUGAGUGUCGGAGAGGAUAGGGGAAUACCCAGUGUAGAGGUGAAAUUCGUAGAGAUUGGGUGGAACACCAGUGGCGAAGGCGCCUAUCUGGCUGACAACUGACGCUGAGACUCGAAAGCAUGGGGAGCAAACAGG
rnacentral:rRNA from 1 species